rnacentral:lncRNA from 1 species
UUGCAUAUUAUUAUGUUUAGAUCGAUUUCCUAUUCUUCACUUUAUGGUUAUUUCAUAUGUUGAUUUAAUGGAUAUUUUAAGAAAGAAAUUAGAAAUUAAAUGUGAUAUUAAUGGAGUAAUUGCCAUGAAAAUGGGAUAUUAAAAGAAUGUUGAAUCUUUUUAAAUACAGGUUGAAGGUCUACCUGUUGUGUGACAAAGAGGAACUAUUACAUGUGUGAAGAUCAUAAUAUGUGCUGGAUUAACUAAAAAAAAACACUUUCUGAGGAUUAACACACUUCUAAGA